GACCGCACUGCGCAGCUUCAGGAAAACACGCCACGAAGAAGCCAGGUGAAGCUCAUUUACCUUGAUUAGUAAUCUCAUGCUACUGCCAAAUUGUAAACGGUUAGUACUCUGGGAAUGCGGGGGGAACGUGGACUGUAUGUGAGGAUCGACUAAGUGUGGCUUUCUUUUCCACACCGCAGACUAUUGACAACAAUUAGAAAGUUUUAACGUUUUACUAAUAAUGUUAGCAGUGGCACUCUGAUAAAAACCGUCAGCAGCAUUGAAGGAUAUGGAUUUCUGGAACUUUACAAAAACUUAAGAAACUGAAAGUUGGCUACGUGGACACUGAAACUGGACCUGCAAAAAAGAAGACAAAGUUGGACAGGAGAGAAUUGACCACAAUAUCAACAGAGUUCUUGGCGGUGGUAAAACUCAAGCCCAGUGAUGAAUUAUGACGUGGUUACCGAAGACAUUGCCACCAUGAGGGACAAAGUUCUUCUUCCAGGCGCUCUCAGCCUCCAUGCUUUUCGGUCUUUGAUUCCUUCUCAUGAGAGUUCUGGUGGCACUGUACGAAAGACACAGACAACUCCUGGAAUCCACUCCUUGCCAUGUUUAGUGUGAUGACAUCGAUGUAAGGAGGGAAUGCAUCCUGCAAAGCCUUAUUGUCUACAUCAAGGAAGACCCAUAUAUGUUUUUCAAGGAAUAUUUGGUGAGUUUAUUAAAAUAGUUUCUCACAUAGCAUAAUUGUUAGCAGUGUCAUUGUGGGGUUCAUCAUGCUGUUUGUUAUGCCUCUGAUCUAGUCUUUCCAGAAAACAUCAAGUACAAUUUUGAGUUUUUCCAGAAGAUCAUUAUGAACUUAUGCAAAGAUAUACAGCAGCUGAAAAUCAAGCUGUUUUCAUAAGAAGCAAACAAUAUGUGUCCACACAGUCAGUGACGGUCAUCGUGGGUGUUAUUCUUUUUCAAAAACUUUGUUAACCACUUGUGUAGUACAUCAAGAUUUAUUUGUUACUAUGGAUAGGCUAUGCUGCAGACCCCAGUAUUUGCAGCCAGCCUCUGCAAUGUCACAAGGUUACAUUUGCAUGACUCCGCAGAAGACUUUUAAUUUGAACCCCAGUUUGAAGGCUGACCUGAGUGCAGCCUGUUGAACUGUCAUUGCUUUACUAAUGUAACAAAACUGAUUUUUAUCUCCCGGUUAACACUGUAACACAUAUAAAUCACAACAUUAUCAGAGUAUAUAAAGGUAUGGCAAGCUGUAAACAUCACACCUAUUUUGUCUUCCUGAUGCUUGUUUCACAUGACUGUUUUGGUCCAAUCAUGAUCAAGUGAUCAUGACUGUGGCAAAAGGUAGGUUAGUUUAAUUAGCUCAAGAUGGAUAAUAACCCUGAGAAUUCAGGCUUCUGGGUGCAUUCAAGUCAGCAGUAUGAGAGUAUUUAUCAGCAUACACCGCCCAUCUUAUAUAUUUUCCACUUUAUUAUGAACCAUCUUGUCAGAAACCUGCUUUAUAUCCUCCAGGUUAUCUGUAAUUCCCUCUGUAUGCCACUCAAUCCUUCCAUAACUUCUGAACUUCAGCUCCCACACCAGAUGCCCUGGCUGAGACUAUAAAUUUGUCUGAUAAGAAAACAGCCCUGAUAACUCAGCCCUAUGUCUCUUCUCACACACACUUAGUGCACAUGCUGUGUUUUAUCACAGAGAUACAGUGGCAAAGCAAAAAUAAUUCACUGUGAUGUGGAAUACACAGUAGGUUUGAUCAUAUCUGCAAAGUAGAGCCAAAGUUAAAUGGAAUCUGGUCCGAAAAUGCACAGUAUUAGUGGUACAUGUACGUAUUACCUUUUUUGUUAGCCGUUUCUUUUUUUUGUGUACCAGAGUUUUUACUAUUUCCCAAUUUUUCCACAACAUACAGUGUA